rnacentral:rRNA from 1 species
CCUACGGGUGGCAGCAGUGAGGAAUAUUGGUCAAUGGACGCGAGUCUGAACCAGCCAAGUAGCGUGAAGGAUGACUGCCCUAUGGGUUGUAAACUUCUUUUAUAUGGGAAUAAAAUGUGCCACGUGUGGGGUUUGGUAUGUACCAUAUGAAUAAGGAUCGGCUAACUCCGUGCCAGCAGCCGCGGUAAUACGGAGGGUCAGAGCGUUAUCCGGAUUUAUUGGGUUUAAAGGGAGCGUAGGGGGAAUGUUAAGUUCGUUGUUAAAUGUUGCGGCUCAACCGUCAAAUUGCCGUUGAAACUGGCAGUCUUGAGUACAGGAGAGGUAGGCGGAAUUCGUGGUGUAGCGGUGAAAUGCUUAGAUAUCACGAAGAACUCCGAUUGCGAAGGCAGCUCACCGGACUUCAACUGACACUGAGGCUCGAAAGUGUGGGUAUCAAACAGGAUUAGAUACCCGGGUAGUC